ACUUCAGUGAGGUUGAUCCUUACCUGUUGGCCUUAGAAAUAAGGCAGCAGAACAUGAUGAUCGGAUUUAAUGACUGCGUGAUUAUGUCCCGCGUUCAUCAGGAAGCAACAACUCCUGCUGAAUCCUAUCUGAC
ensembl:snoRNA U8 U8 small nucleolar RNA